rnacentral:rRNA from 1 species
AACGAACGCUGGCGGCAUGCCUAACACAUGCAAGUCGAACGAGACCUUCGGGUCUGGUGGCGCACGGGUGCGUAACGCGUGGGAACCUGCCCUUAGGUUCGGAAUAACUCCCCGACAGGGGUGCUAAUACCGGAUAAUGUCUUCGGACCCAAGAUUUAUCGCCUUUGGAUGGGCACGCGUUGGAUUAGCUAGUUGGUAGGGUAAAAGCCUACCAAGGCGACGAUCCAUAGCUGGUCUGAGAGGAUGAGCAGCCACACUGGGACUGAGACACGGCCCAGACUCCUACGGGAGGCAGCAGUGGGGAAUAUUGGACUAUGGGCGAAAGCCUGAUCCAGCAAUGCCGGGUGAGUGAUGAAGGCCUUAGGGUUGUAAAGCUCUUUUACCCGGGAUGAUAAUGACAGUACCGGGAGAAUAAGCUCCGGCUAACUCCGUG